ACAUUAAAACAAGUUGGUAAUUAAAGAAAGGUUAAUACAAAUCUCACAAGAGACUCAAACCACAUUUUUCAUACUCAGGCUAUGGCUGGCACAUUGAAUGCUUUUGGAGUACUUCAACAUAACCCACGCCAGAAUUACGAGAUAAUCAUUUUCAUUUCAUAUGUUAAAUCUUCUAACAUUACAAAGAGCCAUUUUCCAGAUAGAAUUAAACAUGUGACAAUUUUUGUCUUCCCAAAAGUUAACAACAAUCUCUAAAGGAGAUCUUACCCAUAACACAUGCUGCAAACAAUUCAUACAAAAAUGCAAAUAAUUUUUAUCUAGCUACCUCUGACAAUGAAACCACAAUUAACUGAUACAAAUUGUAAGUGAGUGUAGACAUCCACUGAACAAGUUACUUAGACAAUCCAACAAAAGAGCUCUCCAAUUUCAUUUCUAAUGAGAUGAUGACAUUCUUAGUCAUGUUCCCAGUCUUUCAUUAGCUCAACAGCUUCAUAUGACAAGUAGGUAUUAUACAUUUCAGAUAUGACUGCAGAAACAGUACACUUGGCACUUUUCAAUUCCUACUGGUUCAGGUUCCUGCAUUGACUUAUUGUAGGAACAGAUGAAUAUCUAGACUGUCACAUGAAAACAGCAGAAGUACUAACAGAUACAUGCUUACUAAAUUAAAGCAUAUGGAAAUGUUUUGAAAAUGUUUUAAGAAGCAUAGGCAUAGUAGAAUGCUGAUGUUUAUCUGUAUUCCUCCUACGAGGAAUUUACAGCAAAGAUGUUAUCUUUAUAGUUAUUUUUAUAGUGAACAGCAACAAUAUAGCACUAACAAUUAACUGGACUUGCUUUUUACUAUUGUAAUUUGAUAAAGUAACCUUAAGCCUCACAAUAGGCAGUUAGCUGAAGUCAGAAGUAUAAGAAAUAGCUGGAAUACUAACAAGACAAUGACAUAAGUCAUUGUCCAUUUUCACUUUUAUUUUUCCAAUUAACUUAAUCAUGUAAUAAUAUAUUUUUAUGCCAGGUUAAAGACUUCUCAAAAAAAGUUUCAAGUUCAUAAAGUAUUAGAACAAACAUAAAAAAUUUAGUCUAUAGUAAAAACUUAUCCAUACACUAACUAAAUAUCAUACUCCCUAGUUCCUUGUGAUUCUGUGUUCUCAGAAAGCAGAGUUCCAACAGCUUUUGCUGCCAUCAGGCUUUGCUACCAAAAACAUGCUUUUCAUUAAAUUACUAGACUUAUGGUUCAGUUGGCUUAGUACAUUGUGCUGAAAAUAAAAUGUAAAAAGUUGUAAUCGUGGAGGGGUUACAGAAUCAAAGCAAAAGGUUACAGAGGCCAAUAUUUCCUUACCUGCAGCCAUAAAGCAGCGCUGCUGUGCUGUCCCGAGUGCUGUUGCCUAUACGAUAUGAUGACAUUAAGUGACCGAAGGAAAUUCCACAUGCUGCUGACACAAAAUC
rnacentral:lncRNA from 7 species